UACGGAGGAUGCAAGCGUUAUCCGGAUUUAUUGGGUUUAAAGGGUGCGCAGGUUGUUUGAUAAGUCAGUGGUGAAAGUCUGUCGCUUAACGGUAGGAUUGCCAUUGAUACUGUUGGACUUGAAUAUGGAUGAGGUAGGCGGAAUGUGUAGUGUAGCGGUGAAAUGCAUAGAUAUUACACAGAACACCGAUUGCGAAGGCCGCUUACUAAUCCAUCAUUGACGCUGAGGCACGAAAGCGUGGGGAGUCAAACAGGA
rnacentral:rRNA from 1 species